CCUGGGAGGGCUGAGAAGGAAGCAGCAGCUUCCUGCAGAAUGUUUAUCAUUUUCUGCUAUACAAAUCUUUAAAAUUACUGCAACAGAAGACUCGGGCUGCAGUGGCUGUGAUGUCUAACACGUGUCUUGCGGUAAAGCCACUAACAGGAGGAGGGAAGUUUAUCCUGGAUUUGUACUUUAAGGUUUUGCCUAGAGGGGAGAUCCUCUAUGUUCUUGAGUCUUUUGUUAUUCUGUAAAGUACUUACCAUCCCGAUUUCACAGAGAUUCUCUUAUUGUCUCACAUACCAGUUAACAUGGCUGGACUACACUUCCUGUCAUCUAGCAAGGGGACCAGAAGAUACUUACCUGACAUUUUCAAAGAGAGCCACAUAAUUCCCACUGAUCACAGAAAGUUGAAAAUUUCCUUGUCUAAAUGUGGAGGUUAUGAUUCAAGUUAAUUUUAACAUUCAAAUGAGCAGUUGAGGCCUUUGAGGUAUGCCUAUCACUAUUCAAUACCUUUACCGGUAGGAGAAAAUAAAUGGGAUCAGGAGUUUCAGUCGCAAAAAACCUUAAAACACAAAAAACUAGGUCAUUUAGUACAUGACUCAGGGACCAACACAGGAUAUUGACAUAUAGUUCUGUAUUCUCCAUUGUUUUGCCCAGUCUCGUUGUAGUUGCCCCAAGUAUGUGGUUUCCACCAUUUCACUUGAGAAACUACUUUGUAAUAUACUAGAUCUUAGGUAUGAAUUUGUUUCUGAUAUUCGUCCUUUUCACCAACACCACCAAAGAAAAAAAGGCUUGUUUUCACUCUACCAUCUCCCACCCUCCAAUGUUAGUCUACAACAAUACAAUUAAAAGCAACUCCGUUAGCACUUAUUUAUGAGUGUUAUAUUCUUUCACUUCAGUUCAUUUUCAUGCAGCAUUUGGUCUGGCUAGCUGUUGUAAGUUGCUAUAUCCAAUUCUACAAAGUGUUACUGGAAAUACUUAUGUAUUCAAGUUGCUAUACACAAAUACAUUAAAUUGAGUUACACAAAUAAAACUCUUAAAAAUCCUAAACAUACAGGUCUUUAUUUUCUAGUGCAUAAAAUAAAGUUUUGAAAAGUUUUAAAUAUUUCUUUGAUAAGGAAAAGAGAAGGAUCAAAGGAUACCUAAUACCAUGGUUAUGUUUGUCAUUAUUUUGUGGUUUGAUAUGUUUAUCAGAAUAUUUAAAACUAGCUAUCUCAAGACCAUAAUCAGAAAUUUAGAAUAUAGUGACAAUAGGGUCCCUUUCUGUUCCCACUGACUUCGAUGGGGAUAGAAUUUGGCCCUGUGCUUACAUAAUAAGACUUACUGUCUUGUGCCAAUGUAUCUUACAUGCCACCAUAAAGCCAUUUUAAAAAAUAACACACGGAGGGAGUGCGGAUUUGUGGUGACAGAAUGUAAACUGGAUUCUAAUCCUAGCACUGACGCAACCCGGCAACAGGUUGAUGCCAUGCAAGUCCCGUUUGCUUGCAUAGCAUACAUUGAAGCAUCAGGGCAAGUGUACUUAGGGCCCAAUCCAGCACCAUUGAAGACAAUGGAAAGACACCUUUUGACUGCAGCAGAAGUUGGGUUAGGCCUGUAACCUCUCAGGGCCCAAUUCAGAACAUUGACGUAAGUAAGUGUGAGUCUACUGGAGUUGCACCUGGUUAUGUCUGAUCUGAAUCUAACCCUCUCUGCCUUAGUUUUCCAAUCUGUGACAUGAUGAGGAUAUUUACUUACCCCAUUGGGUUUUAAAGAUUCAGAGAAUAUAGCUACACACACACACACCCCCACCAGCAAAUCUCAGAGUGUAGGUCAC